GUUAAAGAGAGGAAACUUCUUGUGAUUGAUUGCCUAACCAAUUAGGCUCACACACGGUAUUGUUUAUUUACCAUCUCUCCUCUUCAUUGGGAGUACAAAAUUUAGCUCAAUUAGUUCCAAGACCUACAGACAAAACUCCCCAAUUAGGAGGAUACCGACUUAGCACGUGGCACAAAACUGUAGAGUCUAAAUGAAUUAUGGGAAUAAUCAGCUAGAAGAGCAUGUCUUUCUUCUGUGGUUGCAAUAACAAGAAGUAGGAGGGGGAGAAGGAAAAGGAGAAAGAGGAAGAAGGAGAGGAGGAGGAAGAAGAGGAGGAGAAGAAAAAGUGCCACUGCCAACCUAGUGAAUCCGAUAAAAGAGAAACUUCUGAUAGAUUGACAUGAAAGAAAGCUGUCAUUUAGGAUCAAUAUCCUAAGUGUUUAUUUAAAUGCUUUAUGGAUGAGCUGUUGAGUCUUCUGCUCUUCUGGUGAAAGAAUUAAAAUCUAGCAAUGUUUCCAGACUCCUUUUUGACUUGACUCUGAUACCUACUAUCAGGUGACGAAGUUACUACAGUGGAGUUGGAAUGAUGCAUUAUUCCGAUUUUUGCUAUGAGUUCUCCUCAACUACCUAGCUUUUAGUAUUAUACAAAAGAUCUGGGAGAGUCUUG
rnacentral:lncRNA from 1 species